AUGUUUUUCCGAAACAAUAUGGUGGAUUUGUUGUAAUUGGGCAUUGGCCAGACAACCGUAGAGAUGGAAUCCACAGAUGUUGAGUUUUUUUUUGUCUCACCAUUCUACUAAUUCCAUCUCACAAUU
rnacentral:snoRNA from 2 species